UGAGGAAUAUUGGUCAAUGGACGAGAGUCUGAACCAGCCAAGUAGCGUGCAGGAUGACGGCCCUAUGGGUUGUAAACUGCUUUUGUUUGGGAAUAAUCGACAUUACGUGUAAUGUUUUGCAUGUACCAUUCGAAUAAGGACCGGCUAAUUCCGUGCCAGCAGCCGCGGUAAUACGGAAGGUCCAGGCGUUAUCCGGAUUCAUUGGGUUUAAAGGUAUUGUAGGCGGUUGGUUAAGCGUGUUGUGAAAUGUAGAUGCUCAACAUCUGACUUGCAGCGCGAACUGGCUGACUUGAGUACACACAACGUAGGCGGAAUUCAUGGUGUAGCGGUGAAAUGCUUAGAUAUCAUGACGAGCUCCGAUUGCGAAGGCAGCUUACGGGGGCGCAACUGACGCUAAAGCUCGAAGGUGCGGGUAUCGAACAGG
rnacentral:rRNA from 1 species